AGGACGAACGCUGGCGGCGUGCUUAACACAUGCAAGUCGAGCGGUAAGGCCUUUCGGGGUACACGAGCGGCGAACGGGUGAGUAACACGUGGGUGAUCUGCCCUGCACUUCGGGAUAAGCCUGGGAAACUGGGUCUAAUACCGGAUAUGACCUCAGGUUGCAUGACUUGGGGUGGAAAGAUUUAUCGGUGCAGGAUGGGCCCGCGGCCUAUCAGCUUGUUGGUGGGUAAUGGCCUACAAGGCGACGACGGUAGCCGACCUGAGAGGGUGACCGGCCACACUGGGACUGAGACACGGCCCAGACUCCGUACGGGAGGCAGCAGGUGGGGAAUAUUGCACGAAGUGGGACGAAAGCCGUGAUGCAGCCGACGCCGCGUGAGGAUGGACGGUCCGUUCGGGGUUGUAAACCGUUCGUUUACAGCGAAGGACGGAAGUCGACG
rnacentral:rRNA from 1 species